AAUGGUUUAGGGCUGUUUAGCCAAAGAAUCCGCGCGCUGGGACAACUAGCAAGCUAAAGUUAGCUAGUGAGUCACAGAAAUAUCUGCCAACUAGGCUCAGUGGGUGACAGGUAACUGUGUUUCCACCAAGCUGUUCCAGGCCUGAAGUGGCACCCUGGAACUUCUAGAGGCUUGUAGACUUGAAGCUGUGUGAUGUGGUCCAGAUCUGACACCCCUAUUAGCUCAACCACAGCCCUCAUAGCUGCAGUCUUCUGCUCCUGCACCUGCUACACCGGCCGCGACAGGUGAUACAGAUCUGCCACCCUUAGCAGUUCAGCUGCAUUCACAGCAGUCCUCUGCUGUGGUAUUUAUUUUACUGGCUGCACCAGGUCCUACUACACUGGCCGUGAAGGGAGAAACUUUUAAGGAUUCUCAGAUGGAAUCAGAUCUACCAUGCACUCCACCACUGCCCGACAGCCUCUCCCAGACGUGCAUACACUGGGCCUAUCAAGACUGACAAAGCAGAGAUGGGUGAGUGACAAGGAAAAAUAAAACACAACAUGCACACACACACACACUCUCUCGCUGUCACACACAUACACACACACAUUAUCCCCAAUGUAAAUCAUUUGUAAUUACUUGUUUAUUUGAUGUAUUCUCCAUUUUAUUUUAGGAUCGGAGAUAUCUACUCCUACAUAUCCGUUAUCAACAUCUACAUAAUUAAUCUAAAUAGCUAUCAAAUCAAAGUGUGAUUGAUAAUAUUGUAAAAGAGUAUUGCUUAAUGUGUACAGUUUGAGGAAAUUCUGUGUGCUUUUUCUGAGUUGAAAAACAUUACUCGCUCUCACACUCUCUCUUUCUCCCUCACAUACAGUAUAUACAAGGUUCCCAGGAGUGGCAGGCAGAUAGUACAUUAAAAACACUUUUGCAGGACAAUAAACUAAGGCCCCUGGCUACCCAUCACAUUGCUCUGUCCAAACUGAUGUUUGUUCUCCACAAUGAAUGUAUGUAGCGAUUUAAAUUCAGGGUGAGUCAUCAGGCAACCAAGGCCAAGGAAUGGAGAGAGAGAUGACCUGGAGGGAGUUCCAGACCUCAGCUUUUUCUGAAGCAGAAAAGCAGAGAUGGGUGGCUGACAAGGAAGAAAAAAACCACAACCUGCACACACUCUCCUCUCUCUCACACACACACGCAGUCUGUAAAUAUAUAAAUACAUUGUAAGAUAUCUAGGCCUCUAACUCUCAAGUGCACUAAAAAAGGUUUAUCAUAAAAAUUAUCAUUAUUAAUAAUGGACACAAUUAUAUAAUUAAUACAUAUUAGAAUAAUAAUACAGAAGAGUGACCAAUAGUUACUGUAUUGUGAUUGUUUAAGUGUUUUAAUUAGUCAACAAGUAGUGCCCCAAGAGGGGAUCGAACCAUGUCCCAAAAGCAGCAGAAAAGGUCAAAUAAGGUCACAAAACUGUUUGUUAUGGCUAUACAAGUCUGGCAAUAACGUGGUGCCUGGUCGUCACUAGUUACCACAAACACAAAGUCAUAUAAUCCCACCUAUUUAUACAAUCUAUCUUCUCAAAAUGUGAUUUUAAACCUAACUCUAACCUUAACCACACUACUAACCUUAUGCCUAACCCUAACCUUAAAUUAAGACCAAAAAGCACUUUUUCCCCCCAUACAUUUUUAGGAUACAGUUUUGACUUUGUGGCUAUGGUAACUAGUGGAAACCGUUGCACCUGUUGUUCACAUGCAUAUCCGUUCUCUCAUUGGCUAGAAUUUUCUCACCUGAUCUUACCUUCUCCAACUGCCUUCCAUUUUUGAAGACAUGGGACACGUUCGAGCGUAUCGUUGGUCACCGUCUUUCAAAACGUGUUGCGUUAUGUGCAUAGAAAUUGUCUGACUUGCUCCUACAUGUCGACUGGAUGAACUACAGAAAUCAUGUGAUCAAAGGUAAUGAAGUUGACUGCAAGUUUCUGCAGCUGCUCUUCACCAACUUCCUCCUGCAGCCUUGCCUGCAUUGUGGGAGGCACUAUUGUAAACCAAUCAAUUGGGUGUUUAUUUGAUCAACGUGAAUGGGACCAAAGACAUGACUGAAACAGGAACCAACUUCCUGUAUACAGUGGAUAACCUAUAUACAAAUGAAUGUGAUAUUUGAGGCUCUGUACAAUGAACACACAUGAUUUCCGUUUGUGAGCGUGUGAUAUGGGUAUUGGAGCCAUGUUAUUUCGACAUUAUAAAUAAAACUUUUGAUAAACAAUGACAACACUGGGAUGUUGAUCUGAGCAUUGCUGUUGGAAAAUCAGUGUCCAACUUGUGGCCAUCGAAGAUGCACCUCCCCCCACUUCAAUCCUCGACUUUUGUCUACAGUCGGUAGCUUUCACAACUCAAACGCACCCAUUGGUAGUGUUUGAGAGCAUCAAAACGACUGCAGGUGACUGACUGAUCUACAAACCUCCUUGCAUCAUAAAUAACAACUAAUUAUUGGUAAAUCAGUCAGUCACAAUUUAACCAUUAUACAUUGCGGUUUUGAUCCUCUCGAAUACAGACCAUUUAUUUUAAUUGAUGUUAGAGC